UCCCGAUAGCACCAAAGCAAUGAGGAUUCUUCUUCGUUUCUAAUGUAUUCCAGUAAACCUUUUAGAUGAAUUGCAGAGUUUGACUCGCAGAAAUGUAGAAUUGAGGUUGCAAUGCGGUGGAGAUUUACAAAAUCGUUUCGGUUGGGCUAUGUCGUUGGUCAUGAAAAGCGUGGCCAUGUCUCUCACAGACAACGACACUGUUAUUUUGGCCAAAUCCCUACUACCGAAAGUCGACGAGGAAGAUUUGUGUACCGAAUGUGACGUCUGCUGGGGCUGAUUCCAGUUGGGAGACACAUCACAAGCUGCAUGAGGAGAUUGUUAUCGUCCCACGCCAAGCAUGCAACCAUAUGGACCACCCUGAGCGGUGAAGAGCGUGCUUGGCAAGGCUGAUGCCCUUCAUCACGAUGCGGCUUUCGUUCCCGCUGUUUAUUCGAAGUAUGUAAAGUAAACUUACCCAGGGAAUAGUCCUAUUGACUAUGCUCUAAGAUGCUAUUUGAAUGUUCACUAACACACUUGCAUAUUGAGAGUCGCGUGGUCGGAAGUUGUUCCUCUUGUGCAAGUGGGAAUGCUUGUUGCGUGAGACAAUCACAACUUCGUUGCAUGUAAUUUGAAACUUAGACCGAAUGGAUGCCUUCGCAGGCACUAUCUUUAACUACGCGUUAGCUUUGAAUUUCCUAUCCUUGUUUGUUUGAGACUGUACACAGAUUCUUUACACGAGGAGCAUUUGGCUUCUGAAUCCGCGUGGGGAAUUUACUCAUCCAAGGUUUGUACGUCUUUAUUUAUGUUGCGUGUCUCCCCUGCGGAUCCAUCUGCAUUGUGUUCUGUUGGAUGUAUUCAAACCAAUAGCUGAGCUAACUAUGGCUUCUGAGGGUGAGGAAGCAAAUGUGCUAGACGGACAGGAGGUAGCGAGGUUGGAGGAUUGUUGGGCAAAGCUGCCAGAGGAGGUGCAGCACAGGAUUUUCAAGCACCUUCGCUGGCGGAACCUCUUUCGAAUCUGUGUUGUUUGCAGGAGCUUCAACAUUUCUAUCAACCGUUAUAUUCACGAGCUGCCGUUGUUCCGAACCGGCGUAGCCAUCUCAAGCAGUUGAUGAGUGCACAGGCGUCGACCCCUUCCGUUGCGCCACGGAGCCAAGUUGUAUCUGCUGCCAGCUCGAUCGAAGCCAGAGGUUCAAAAUUGGGGCUCCAAUCCUCCGAGUUGGUCGACAUUCACUGCCACAAAGCAGAUUUGUGAGGAACUCGAACACUCUAGAUUGAACCCACUCUGUUCUGUGUGCCUGGCAAGCGGAUUCAAAGCCUUACGCGUAUGUUGCAUUCAGCAUUUCUGGAGGUCUUGAUACUAAUUGAACACCUAACAGCAAUCUUCAAAAGCUUUGUACUCUCUCAUCUUGCGCCGAACCGGUACUAGGUUUGAGUCUCCAUGUAAUCAAGCGGUGUGCAUCCACUAAUGUUCACUUAGGGUGGAUGGGUUAAUCGCAGUACUACAUGCGGAUGAUGCAAUCCAUGCUAUAAGUGUGUACACAAUCUUCUGCAAUAGAGGACUUGAUAUUUGCGGCCAGAUCUCCGGCAUC